UACGUAGGGGGGCAAGCGUUGUCCGGAAUUAUUGGGCGUAAAGAGCGCGUAGGCGGUCCGAUAAGUCGGCUGUGAAAGUCAGGGGCUCAACCCUUGAAAGCCGGCCGAUACUGUCGGACUAGAGUCCGGAAGAGGCAAGUGGAAUUCCCGGUGUAGCGGUGAAAUGCGCAGAUAUCGGGAGGAACACCAAUGGCGAAGGCAGCUUGCUGGGACGGUACUGACGCUGAGGCGCGAAAGCUAGGGGAGCGAACGGG
rnacentral:rRNA from 1 species